rnacentral:rRNA from 1 species
GCCUAACACAUGCAAGUCGAGCGGCAGCACAAGUAAGUUACUUAUGAGGUGGCGAGCGGCGGACGGGUGAGUAAUGCCUAGGGAUCUGCCCAGUCGAGGGGGAUAACAGUUGGAAACGACUGCUAAUACCGCAUACGCCCUACGGGGGAAAGGAGGGGACCUUCGGGCCUUCCGCGAUUGGAUGAACCUAGGUNGGGAUUAGCUAGUUGGUAGAGGUAAUGGCUCACCAAGGCGACGAUCCCUAGCUGUUCUGAGAGGAUGAUCAGCCACACUGGGACUGAGACACGGCCCAGACUCCUACGGGAGUGCAUGCANGUGGGGAAUAUUGCACAAUG